AUCCAUCUAACGAGUCCCAAAUAGGACAAAACACACGUCCUGGAU
rnacentral:hammerhead_ribozyme from 1 species